rnacentral:lncRNA from 1 species
CAUUUAUCUUCCUCCCUCCUGGGGGAGAGGCUCCCCCCACCCUCACCAGGGGGCUGCAGAGACCUGGGAGACCUCCUUGCAGCAGUGGGGUAUACUGUGUAAUGGAGUGGUGAUGCUAGAUACAAACAGGAAAGACUGUCCCUGUGAGGCUGCAAGAGUUUCCCUUUCUGGACACGUUUGGGCUUCAGUCUGUGCUGUGUUACUGGAGAUGUAUGCCAAUGCAUGGACCAUACAAGAAGAGCAUGGUGGCAAGAGAAGGUUGUGACAGGCGCUCUUGCUCAAACAUUUUUGAUAUAUUCUUCAUCUGCAAUUGCUGUAUCAGAUCCACACUAUGAAAAUAAACAUCACCCGAGCUCAUUUAAGAACAAUUCUGUGUAA